rnacentral:lncRNA from 1 species
AUGGAGACUAAACACUGUGCAUCGAGUUGAGGAACUGAAAUCUGUGAUCCGAAUGGGACCAAUAUGGGCAGCAGGAAUCCUCCUCAUCACAGCUUAUGCUCAGCAGAGCACAUUCUCCCUCCAACAAGCCAAAACCAUGGACAGGCACCUGACAAAAUCCUUCGAAAUCCCUGCUGGUUCCAUGUCUGUCUUCACCAUGGUCUUCAUGCUCUUCACCAUAGCCCUUUACGACCGGGUUCUAGUCCGCAUUGCCCGCAGAUUCACGGGGCUCGACCGGGGUAUCACCUUCUUGCACCGGAUGGGAAUCGGAUUCGUGAUAUCAGUGUUAGCCACUCUUGUAGCAGGCUUCAUCGAAAUAAAGCGUAAACAAGCAGCUUUCGCUCACGGGCUUCAAGACAAGGCUCACGGUAUCAUCCCCAUCUCAGUUAUCUGGCUCGUGCCACAGUACGCCCUCCAUGGAAUAGCUGAAGC